UACGUAGGCAGCGAGCGUUGUUCGGAGUUACUGGGCGUAAAGGGUGCGUAGGCGGUUGUUUAAGUUUGGUGUGAAAUCUCCCGGCUCAACUGGGAGGGUGCGCCGAAUACUGAAUGACUAGAGUGCGGGAGAGGAGAGUGGAAUUCCUGGUGUAGCGGUGAAAUGCGUAGAUAUCAGGAGGAACACCGGUGGUGUAGACGGCUCUCUGGACCGUAACCGACGCUGAGGCACGAAAGCGUGGGUAGCAAACAGG
rnacentral:rRNA from 1 species